rnacentral:RNase_P_RNA from 1 species
UAAGUAGACUGGAUGAUCGCAAGUAUGGUAAAAUGGGCUAUGCUUGAGGAAAGUCCGGGCUCCAUAGAGCAGGAUGCUGGUUAACGGCCAGCCGGAGUAAUUCGAGGGAAAGUGCCACAGAGAGCAAACCGCCGAUGGCCUUUAAGGCACAGGUAAGGGUGAAAGGGUGCGGUAAGAGCGCACCGGGGUUCUGGUGACAGAGUCCGCAUGGUAAACCCCAUCCGGAGCAAGACCAAGUAGGGAAAGGUUAAGAGUAGCUCGCUCAUCUUUCCGGGUUAGGUCGCUUGAGGUGGCAGGCAACUGUCAUCCUAGAUGGAUGGUCAUCACCCGUGAGGGUACAGAACCCGGCUUACAGGUCUACUUAUUUG